GAUCAUGGCUCAGGAUAAACGCUGGCGGCGUGCCUAACACAUGCAAGUCGAACGAUCCCGCAAGGGAGAGUGGCGGAAGGGUGAGUAACACGUGGGGAAUCUACCUCCUCGCAGGGAACAACCUCUCGAAAGAGAGGCUAAUACCCAAAAGGGUCAGAAAUGAUCAGAGUCGAAAGGCGUGAGGAGAGGAGCCCGCGGCCCAUCAGCUAGUUGGUGAGGUAAUGGCUUACCAAGGCUACGACGGGUAGGGGAUCUGAGAGGAUGUCCCCCACACUGGAACUGAAACACGGUCCAGACGCCUACGGGUGGCAGCAGUGAGGAAUAUUGGACAAUGGGCGAAAGCCCGAUCCAGCAACGCCGCGUGGAGGAUGAAGGCCUUCGGGUCGUAAACUUCUUUAGAGGGAGACGAGAAAGGACGGUAUCCCUAGAAUAAGCGACGGCAAACUACGUG
rnacentral:rRNA from 1 species